rnacentral:rRNA from 1 species
AACCUCCGCAAUGUGAGAAAUCGCGACGGGGGGAUCCCAAGUGCCAUUCUUAACGGGAUGGCUUUUCAUUAGUGUAAAGAGCUUUUGGAAUAAGAGCUGGGCAAGACCGGUGCCAGCCGCCGCGGUAACACCGGCAGCUCUAGUGGUAGCAAUUUUUAUUGGGCCUAAAGCGUCCGUAGCCGGUUUAAUAAGUCUCUGGUGAAAUCCUGCAGCUUAACUGUGGGAAUUGCUGGAGAUACUAUUAGACUUGAGAUCGGGAGAGGUUAGAGGUACUCCCAGGGUAGAGGUGAAAUUCUGUAAUCCUGGGAGGACCGCCUGUUGCGAAGGCGUCUAACUGGAACGAUUCUGACGGUGAGGGACGAAAGUUAGGGGCGCGAACCGGAUUAGAUACCCGGGUAGUCCUAACUGUAAACGAUGCGGACUUGGUGUUGGGGUGGCUUUGAGCUGCUCCAGUGCCGAAGGGAAGCUGUUAAGUCCGCCGCCUGGGAAGUACGGUCGCAAGACUGAAACUUAAAGGAAUU